rnacentral:rRNA from 1 species
GGGGAUAACAGCUGGAAACAGCUGCUAAUACCGCAUAUGCCCGCAGUGCCGCAUGGCACAGCGGGGAAAACUCCGGUGGUAUGCGAUGGGUCCGCGUCUGAUUAGGCAGUUGGCGGGGUAACGGCCCACCAAACCGACGAUCAGUAGCCGGCCUGAGAGGGCGGACGGCCACACUGGGACUGAGACACGGCCCAGACUCCUGCGGGAGGCAGCAGUGGGGAAUAUUGCACAAUGGGGGAAACCCUGAUGCAGCGACGCCGCGUGAAGGAAGAAGUAUCUCGGUAUGUAAACUUCUAUCAGCAGGGAAGAAAACAGACGGUACCUGACUAAGAAGCCCCGGCUAACUACGUGCCAGCAGCCGCGGUAAUACGUAGGGGGCAAGCGUUAUCCGGAUUUACUGGGUGUAAAGGGGGCGCAGACGGCAUGGCAAGCCCGGUGUGAAAGGCAGGGGCAUAACCCCUGGACUGCACUGGGAACUGUCAGGCUGGAGUGCCGGAGGGGUAAGCGGAAUUCCUGGUGUAGCGGUGAAAUGCGUAGAUAUCAGGAGGAACACCGGCGGCGAAGGCGGCUUACUGGACGGCAACUGACGUUGAGGCCCGAAAGCGUGGGGAGCGAACAGGAUUAGAUACCCUGGUAGUCCACGCCGUAAACGAUGUA